ensembl:lncRNA
CAGAUGCAGAUACAGGAGCAGGUGCAGAUACAGGUGUAGAUACAGAUACAGGUACAGAUACAGAUGCAGGUACGGGUGCAAGUGCAGAUACAGAUAUAGAUGCAGAUUCAAGUACAAAUACAGGUGCAGGUGCAGAUAUAGGUGCAGAUACAGACACAGGUGCAGAUACAGGUGCAGGUGCACAUACAGGUGCAGGUACAGGUACGGGUACAGAUACAGGUCCGGGUACAGAUACAGGUAUGGGUACAGAUACAGGUGCAGGUACAGAUACAGGUGCAGGUAUGGUACAGAUAUAGGUGCAGGUAUGGGUACAGAUGCAGGUAUGGGUACAGAUACAGGUGCAGGUAUAGAUACAAGUGCAGGUAUGGGUACAGAUACAG